ACACAUGCAAGUCGAACGGUAACAGGAAGCAGCUUGCUGCUUCGCUGACGAGUGGCGGACGGGUGAGUAAUGUCUGGGAAACUGCCUGAUGGAGGGGGAUAACUACUGGAAACGGUGGCUAAUACCGCAUAACGUCGCAAGACCAAAGAGGGGGACCUUCGGGCCUCUUGCCAUCAGAUGUGCCCAGAUGGGAUUAGCUUGUUGGUGAGGUAACGGCUCACCAAGGCGACGAUCCCUAGCUGGUCUGAGAGGAUGACCAGCCACACUGGAACUGAGACACGGUCCAGACUCCUACGGGAGGCAGCAGUGGGGAAUAUUGCACAAUGGGCGCAAGCCUGAUGCAGCCAUGCCGCGUGUAUGAAGAAGGCCUUCGGGUUGUAAAGUACUUUCAGCGGGGAGGAAGGUGUUGUGGUUAAUAACCGCAGCAAUUGACGUUACCCGCAGAAGAAGCACCGGCUAACUCCGUGCCAGCAGCCGCGGUAAUACGGAGGGUGCAAGCGUUAAUCGGAAUUACUGGGCGUAAAGCGCACGCAGGCGGUCUGUCAAGUCGGAUGUGAAAUCCCCGGGCUCAACCUGGGAACUGCAUUCGAAACUGGCAGGCUUGAGUCUUGUAGAGGGGGGUAGAAUUCCAGGUGUAGCGGUGAAAUGCGUAGAGAUCUGGAGGAAUACCGGUGGCGAAGGCGGCCCCCUGGACAAAGACUGACGCUCAGGUGCGAAAGCGUGGGGAGCAAACAGGAUUAGAUACCCUGGUAGUCCACGCCGUAAACGAUGUCUACUUGGAGGUUGUGCCCUUGAGGCGUGGCUUCCGGAGCUAACGCGUUAAGUAGACCGCCUGGGGAGUACGGCCGCAAGGUUAAAACUCAAAUGAAUUGACGGGGGCCCGCACAAGCGGUGGAGCAUGUGGUUUAAUUCGAUGCAACGCGAAGAACCUUACCUGGUCUUGACAUCCACGGAAGUUUUCAGAGAUGAGAAUGUGCCUUCGGGAACCGUGAGACAGGUGCUGCAUGGCUGUCGUCAGCUCGUGUUGUGAAAUGUUGGGUUAAGUCCCGCAACGAGCGCAAC
rnacentral:rRNA from 1 species